GGUAAAAAAAAGGUAAGCUACUAAGAGCGAAUGGUGGAUGCCUUGACUGGUAAAGGCGAUGAAGGACGUACUAGACUGCGAUAAGCUACGGGGAGCUGUCAAGAAGCUUUGAUCCGUAGAUUUCCGAAUGGGGCAACCCAAUGUAUAGAGAUAUACAUUACCUAUAUAGGAGCGAACGAGGGGAAUUGAAACAUCUUAGUACCCUCAGGAAAAGAAAUCAAUAGAGAUUGCGUCAGUAGCGGCGAGCGAAAGCGCAAGAGGGCAAACCCAGUGCUUGCACUGGGGGUUGUAGGACUGCAAUGUGCAAGAGGUAAGUUUAGCAGAACAUUCUGGAAAGUAUAACCAUAGAGGGUGAUAGUCCCGUAUGCGAAAAACAAAGCUUAGCUAGCAGUAUCCUGAGUAGGGCGGGACACGAGGAAUCCUGUCUGAAUCCGGGUCGACCACGAUCCAACCCUAAAUACUAAUACCAGAUCGAUAGUGCACAAGUACCGUGAGGGAAAGGUGAAAAGAACUGAGGUGAUCAGAGUGAAAUAGAACCUGAAACCAUUUGCUUACAAUCAUUCAGAGCCCUAUGUAGCAAUACAGGGUGAUGGACUGCCUUUUGCAUAAUGAGCCUGCGAGUUGUGGUGUCUGGCAAGGUUAAGCAAACGCGAAGCCGUAGCGAAAGCGAGUCUGAAUAGGGCGCUUAGUCAGAUGCUGCAGACCCGAAACGAAGUGAUCUAUCCAUGAGCAAGUUGAAGCUAGUGUAAGAACUAGUGGAGGACUGAACCCAUAGGCGUUGAAAAGCCCCGGGAUGACUUGUGGAUAGGGGUGAAAGGCCAAUCAAACUUCGUGAUAGCUGGUUCUCUCCGAAAUAUAUUUAGGUAUAGCGUUGUGUCGUAAUAUAAGGGGGUAGAGCACUGAAUGGGCUAGGGCAUACACCAAUGUACCAAACCCUAUCAAACUCCGAAUACCUUAUAUGUAAUCACAGCAGUCAGGCGGCGAGUGAUAAAAUCCGUCGUCAAGAGGGAAACAACCCAGACUACCAGCUAAGGUCCCUAAAUCUUACUUAAGUGGAAAACGAUGUGAAGUUACUUAAACAACCAGGAGGUUGGCUUAGAAGCAGCCAUCCUUUAAAGAAAGCGUAAUAGCUCACUGGUCUAGUGAUUUUGCGCGGAAAAUAUAACGGGGCUAAAGU
rnacentral:rRNA from 1 species